rnacentral:rRNA from 1 species
CCUACGGGACGCAGCAGUGGGGAAUAUUGCACAAUGGGGGAAACCCUGAUGCAGCAACGCCGCGUGAGUGAUGACGGCCUUCGGGUUGUAAAGCUCUGUCUUCAGGGGCGAUAAUGACGGUACCUGAGGAGGAAGCCACGGCUAACUACGUGCCAGCAGCCGCGGUAAUACGUAGGGAGCAAGCGUUGUCCGGAAUUACUGGGUGUAAAGGGAGCGUAGGCGGGAUGGCAAGUUGGGUGUUAAAUCUACCGGCUCAACUGGUAGUCGCACUCAAAACUGCUAUUCUUGAGUGAAGUAGAGGCAGG